CCUCAGAUUUUCUUUCUUCCUCUCUCGGAUUCCCUCUCAGUCGGUGUUUGAGGGUCGCGCGGGCGUAGUCUCGAGUGGUGCGAACUCGCGCUGCGAGCGACGAGGUGUGCCGAGGUUGCGAGCGACGAGGGUGUGCCGAGGUUGCGAGCGACGAAGGCUGCGCGAGGUUUGGUUCGAGCGGUGCGCAGGCGUGUCGAGUUGUGCGCGACGGUGUUCGAAAGGCUGCGAGAAAUCGUCGCAGGUUGGUGCGUGGUUUGUGCGAGUUCUGUCGCACGAGGGUUUCGGUUGUUGCGCGGGAUUGUGCGAACCAGCAAGGCUGGUGUGGGUGUCCGUGGGCGACGAGCGAAACCGGGCGAGGCUACUGCACUCGUGUGGUGUGGUGUUUCGAUUCCGGAGGUCGGUCGCCGGAGUUCUUUUGCCGGCGAGAUUUAGCGGUCCCAAUUUCAUAAGCGGCUCGUUCUAUUAAGUCAGCGAAAAUUCUCCGUUACAAGACUAGGUGAGCUGGUGCUGCUGCAUGACAUCAAGCAUAUGGGGGCUAGACUGUAGUUGAAGUUAACUUUUGGUUUGAUCAUUAAUGAAUUUUAUAGAACAUUAUUACAUGGUUUGAGUUUGAAUAAAGAGGGGUCAUCUAUGAUUCCCGAGUUGUAAUUACAUUUUCUAUUCCGCUGCAAUUUGGUUUUGAGACAA